UGCGCCCCUUUAAAAAAAUCCUUUAAAUUUUCAUUACCAUAUUUCAGCUAGGACAAAAUGCUGCUUUUUCAGAAGCACAGCCAUUGCUCUUUCAGUUUGGUCUGGCUGGCAAAAAGGUGGCCUUGCUAUGUAAAUUAUGCCCCUUUAGUAGUCAAAAUAAAAAAAUCUUUCCUCUUUUUUUUUCUUUUGCUGACCAUUUUCUUCCUCCUUCAGAGGCCUUGUUCUCCACAAUUUAGAGUUCCUCUUCAGAUUUGACCAAGUCAGAACGUGUGUCAGACCCACAAUGUAUAGCUUGCAGACCUAGCUUUUCAGGGACCAUUACCCCUUGAACGAGUUCAGUCCACCUGUGUCGCAGCUACCUGGCACAGUGUGUCAGGGGCUCAAGGUAUGGGAAGGGUCAGCUCCUGAUAUGCUCCUGCCAGCUGAGAUUAGAUCCUAAGUAUAUUCUUCUGAGGGGGAAACUUUUUUAGAGCCACUGCACAUCUUAAGGAGCAUUCCUCCCAGGCACAUUCACAUAAUUCUCAGUUGCCUGAGAAUGCCCUGAAAGGCUGAGGGGAGCAAGGUGCUCUUAUUUCUUUGGAGUGGAGGAUUCUACAUUCAUGAGUUAGAGGGUCUGGAGGAUUCCACGCUCAUGAACUAGAGGGUUGGUCAAAUUUGAUAGGGGAAAGGACGAACACACACACACUAAAGAAACCCAAUAAGACAGAAACAAACAAAAAAACAGUUAAGCAAAACUAACAAUGAUCACACAAAUUAUACAAUUUCUGAGUGUCAAAGAUGACAAAUUCCUCUUCAAAAGGUUUUAGUUUCCUGUUCCUCUGGUUGUUUGUUUCUCUACUUUCUAUAGUUACCCAUGCUGAGAGUUGUAAACAACUCUUCCCGCCCUUGCCACACCCUGACAUGCCCUGACAAGCCUAGACAUGCCUUGCACCAUAAUGGAUAGCCUUCCCCUUCCAGCCUAGAUAGCUGUGUUCAAUUUCAAACAUUAGCCAAUCGGGUCAGUUUAGACUGUGGGGUCCAACCCACAGGAGAAAGGACACAGGAGUAGGAACAUAUUGCAUUAGGGAUAAAAACCCCUGCCCUACCCCACCUGGUGUGCUCUUGCAAUCAUGACUGGCGCAAGCUGCAUCCUUCUGUAGAAGUAAAUUUGCCGUGCUGAGAAAAUUUCUAUUUAAGUCCUAUUUCUUCUGCAUCACCGAAACUUGUUUCUAACAAAUUUAGGGGCCCAUUUGGGAUACCUAUUCUUCUCUGGGGAAGGGUCCAGUCCUCUCCCAUGAGGAGCCAUGCCCCACUGCCUCAUUGCGGUGGCCUUGGGGGUAAGGAGUCAAGACCCAACCAGUGUGACAAAUAAAUCCAGACUCUCAGCAACACAAGAAGAAACAGAGCAACAACUUGGGGGGAAAAGAUCAUCACAUGCCAUGGUGACCAGCCAACUCUGUGCACAGAACAAGGAACCAAUCCUUAAACCCUCAGUUUUCUGACCAAACUUUGGGUCAAAUGAGGAUUGGAUUUGUCAGCUUCUAAUAGAACAUGUUAAUGACAAGAGUCCAGUUUCCCAAGAAGAGAUAGAUUAUGCCUUGUGUUGGUGACAAGGACCUGUUCUUCUCUACUCCCUAAAACCUCAAAAAGACGCCCAAGAAGAACAACAGAGCCAAGAUACGCUGAGGUGUUUUGAAGAGGAAAAACUAUAAAAUCAAGAGGAGGAAACUGUGAGAGAUGAUCAAUUCCUCUUCAAAAGGUCUUAAUUCCCUGUUCUUGUAGUUCUUUCUCUAGUUUCUAUAGCUACCCAUGUGGUAAAUAAUCCUUCCCACCCUUCCCACACCCUGACAUACCCUGACAAGCCUAGACAUGCCUUGCACCAUAAUGGAUAGCCUUCCCCUUCCCAUCUAGAUAGCUGUGUUCAAUUUCAAACAUUAGCCAAUCCAGUCAGUUUAGACUGUUCAGUCCAACUCCAGCCAAUGGAGAAAGGACACAGCAGUAGGAACCAACUACAUUAGGGAUUAAAAAACCCCUGUCCUGCUGCAGGUGUUCAUCCCACAGACCCUGACCCAAAAACAGAUUAAUAACAUACCCUGACACAGGUAUUAUGCUUGUCAGUCCAGCUGACAGUCCAGCCCACUUACAGACUCCCAGGAGAGUGCUGUAAAGAUUUGCAACCAUGGCCCUGACUCACUGGCCCUCCCGGCAUUUAUACACCACAUAUUAAAUGACAAAAGUCUCAAGUAAACACCACUAGAAGGUAAUUACUGUUGCCGACCCUCCAUCCCCCACAGUAGAGAGCAAUCAUGCACCUGCAGAUGGUCAAAGGUUUGUCUUAGGACUGAUGGUCAAAGGUUUGUCUUAGGACCACAUGAAUAAACAAGCUAUUUGGAUAGAGUCCUCUACAUUCCUAUGUUAAUUACACUUGCUAUAGCUCAAAGAGGAUUAGGCUGCCUUCAGCCCUAACUCUAUCCUGAGGCUUUUGCAAAAACCUUCCAGCUUUCCAAGAAGGUUUGUGUUUAUUUUACAAUCUUUCCCAUCAUCCUGACUGAUACCCUACAUCUCCCCCUUUUCUAUUUUCUGUAUCUUAUUGAUUGGAGAGUGCAGAUAUAUGCAGCAACAGGUUUGUCAGGUGUGGUGGUCAUUGCUCUUACUCCGGCUUUGCAUCCUAGAAUUAGUAAAUAACAUAAGACCAUCAUGAGUAUAAUUAGCAACAUUCUUUUCCAGUCAGAGAGUGACCCCCAGGAGUGGGUGUCAAACCAGUAGAGAUGAUCUUGCACACCCUUCAGUAUGGCUGUUUGUUAGGUGUGUAGAUCUAAAGUGUGAAGGGAUUCUAAAAUUUUAGUUUUAAGUUGCUUUACAUCUGCUGUUAAAUUGUUAUGAAAGGUUCCCCAGAGAUGUUGUUUCACCUCAUCCCAACUAUGUGUUGAUUGAUUUCCAUGGUAGAGAAGUGACACAGAUACGUUCAUGCUCCCAGCUGCAGUUUAAUCGCUGUUGGAAUGCCAGUGCAUCUUGUUGCUCCCCCACGUAUUCCAAAGCAGCCUUGAGGGAUUGCAGACACGCAAGAAUUUUUAAAUCUAUACCCUGCUGUAAGAGAAGUUCAUUAGACACAUUUUUGGCCAGAUUAUCUACAAAGACAUCUGUUUGUACUGAUUCAGUAAUAGAUGCCACAGCAACAACAGCAGUUGCCAGGAUGACUGUGGCUGAGACUGUAAAGGCCAUAAAUGUAACCAUGAAUCUUUUGUGUCUGAAUUGGGACAAGUCACGUUCUAAGGUGGCAAGGGCAGAGGAACCCUGCCAAGCGCAUUUCAAAUUGACUGGUAGGAAUGUCUCAGAUUGUCUCCUUAAUACCAUGACACUAGUAAUAUUUAGAUUGGAUAUAUUGUAAUUAGUGAUACAUGAGGCAAACCAAGCCUGUCCCUGCACCUGGGUCACAAACGUCGAGUUUUGGAGUGUAAUAGAAAUAUAGGUUCCCAUAAGGAAAACAUAUGGAUGGGUAGUGCAAAUCAGGCACUGAUCAGUGUGAUUAUGAAUAAAGGUUAUAGUAUAGUUGUUACUGGAAUUAUGAUAUGUUCCAUGCCAGGUGUCAAGGGAGGUGCCAAGAUGUCCCAGGCAUCAUAAAGUGUCUUGGAUUUUACUUGGCAUCUGGGAUAUCCCAUCCCCAAAUUGGCCCAAAUCAUAGGGGAACAGGACGUGACUAUGAAACUGUGAUUGAUGCCAUGACAGAUGAGGACAUUAGUAAGGCUGCCCUGCAAAUGGCCAUGGGGGCUCCAGUCUAAGAUGCUAUAAUUGCCUAACUGGAGGCUAUGUGCUUGUCCCCCAUGACAGACCUCCCAGCUAAAGUGAAAUCCAUUACUUUCCUGGCUUUUUCCUUUAGCACAGGAAGGAACGUUUGGGAAAGUGGCAUUGAUUGCAUUACCUGGUUUGAGGCUACCUGCAGCUAAGGCUGUUAAGGCAUUUCCUUUGCCAUGAUGUAGCCAAAAAUUGUGUUUGGGCAGAUACAUAGUAAGGGUUAGAACUUUUAUAGCUUACACACAGUGGGAGGAUAGUGGAGUGAUAUGUAGUGUUAUCUGGCACCUUAGUCCAAUGUGUGCCAUUAUUGAGGGAUCCCAAUGGGGGACUUUAUCCCUCCCAGACAAGCAGUCAUGUUAUUAUAGGCUGAGAAGGGGGUGUCUGCCCAGGUGACAGGGCAAAAGAAAGGUGGAUCUAAGAUAUGAGCCCAAUAGAGUGUAGCAGGUACAGGUUGCAGAUAAAGAGAGAGCAUAAAAAGGAUCAAUACCCUACCUGAGUUGCAAUGUACAACAGAAAGCAUAGCAAGGAACAAAUUAUCUAGAGUAAAUGGUGUCUGUGUCUGGAGCACAAUUCAUUCAGCCUCCUGAGUUGUCCUCUUCAGCAUCUCCCAGGUAAUGUCCGAGGCUUGUGUGGUCUGCAGAAGCCACAUUGUCUGGGGCUGCGGGUCCUGUGGGGUCUGUUCCUUCAUCUCUGGUACCAGGUUGGGUCCUAGCCAUGCCACUGAGUGGUGACAAUAUACUAGCAGCCCUCACUCUCGGCACCUCCUCGGCCUCGGCAUCCACUCUGGUGGCACUUGAGGAGCCCUUCAGCCUGCCACGGCACUGUGGGAGCCCCUCUCUGGGCUGGCCGAGGCCAGAACUGCCUCCCUCUGCUUGUGGUGAUGUGUGAAGGGAGAGGCAUGGGCGGGAACUGGGGCUGCACGUGGUGCUUGUGGGCCAGCGUGAGUUCUGGCAGGUGCGGGAGUGGGCUUGGCGGGCCCCACACACAGAGUGGCCGGCUGGCGUCACUGGCCCAGGGCAGUGAGGGGCUUAGCACCCAGGCCAUCAGCUGUGGAGGUUGCACCAGGUACCCCAGCACUACCAGCCCACAUGCACAGUGCUUGAAUUCUCGCAGGGCCUCAGUUGCCUCCCCGGGGGUCAGGGCUCAGGACCUGCAGCCUGCCAUGUCUGAGCCCCAUCCACCGCGGUGGGCUCCUGCGUGGCCCAAGCCUCCCUGAUGAGCGCCGUCCCCUGCUCUGCGGUGCCCGGUCUUAUCAACUGCCCAAGGUCUGAGAAGUGCGGGCACAUGGCGCAGGACUGGUGGGCAGCUUGGCCUGCAGCCCAGUGCGGGAUACACUAGGUGAAGCCAGCUUAGCUCCUGAGUCUAGUAGGGACUUGGAGAACCUUUAUGUCUAGCUAAGGGAUUGU